GAUGAACGCUGGCGGCGUGCCUAAUACAUGCAAGUCGAGCGAACAGACGAGGAGCUUGCUCCUCUGACGUUAGCGGCGGACGGGUGAGUAACACGUGGAUAACCUACCUAUAAGACUGGGAUAACUUCGGGAAACCGGAGCUAAUACCGGAUAAUAUAUUGAACCGCAUGGUUCAAUAGUGAAAGACGGUUUUGCUGUCACUUAUAGAUGGAUCCGCGCCGCAUUAGCUAGUUGGUAAGGUAACGGCUUACCAAGGCGACGAUGCGUAGCCGACCUGAGAGGGUGAUCGGCCACACUGGAACUGAGACACGGUCCAGACUCCUACGGGAGGCAGCAGUAGGGAAUCUUCCGCAAAGGGCGAAAGCCUGACGGAGCAACGCCGCGUGAGUGAUGAAGGUCUUCGGAUCGUAAAGCUCUGUUAUUAGGGAAGAACAAAUGUGUAAGUAACUAUGCACGUCUUGACGGUACCUAAUCAGAAAGCCACGGCUAACUACGUG
rnacentral:rRNA from 1 species